ACCAAAAUGAGUGUUACUAUCUUGAUGAAACUGAAAGCAGGUUGAUUGAAUUCACAUUCACAAAUAUAAAAAAAUAAAACCUUAUAGAAACCAUCCACAGUAAAACAGAAUAUACUCCCCUCCUUCCCAAAAUAAUAACUUGUAUAGGUUUAAAUUUGUCUUAAAAAAUAGCAUUCUACAAAAGCAUGGGACACUACCUCCUAAUGUGGAAGCUAAUCACGGGUGCAUGCAAACUAUAACUACCAAAUCCAAAGAGAUAUCCUCCGGGAAAGGAAAGGAAAUGAGGGUAAAUAUGUUUGCCAACAUUUUUAAUCUGUGAGAAAAUUAUUUUGGCAUGCCAGCUGCGCCUUUCCUAUUGAUUUGCACCCAACCCAAACCAAGAAAGAUUUAUGAUUCACUUAAUGGUGCAUUUGCACUUGAUAACUUCCGUUAGAAUAUGAAACACUAUAAUUUCAGUAUACAAUUGAAGAAUUAAAUGAAAAACAGUUAAAACAAUAUUCAAGCAAGGUCACACUUCUCAGGUUGUUUUCAUGUUCCUUUCAUGUGUAUCCAUUUGUUUCUCUUUUCUUAUAUCAUGUUUAAGCUGGCAGAAUCAAUGUAGAUCAUGGAAGCUAGCAAAAGAUAAAGACAAACAGAAGGAGAACAUGUGGUAUUUAACAAAAAUGUUCAACUUAAACAUAGCCAGACAAUCAUAAUCAUAACAUUUAAAGUUCUUCAAACACACACCGCAAAUGAUAUGACAACCAAACAAAGGAGUAGACUAGACAGAGAACAUGCAAUCAGUGGAGACUGCAAUCUAAAAUUCUAAUUUGACAUCACGUUAAGUAUAAACUCUAUAUGUGAUGUUAUUCAAACAUAUUUGAAGGCCCAAAGUUUGAACUACAAAGUUGCUGAUGUGUGUGGUUAAUGAUUUCUAGGAAUUUACACUUUGAUUUUCAGCACAAAUUUGCAGGUCAGCUCUAGGUUAGAAAAGGCGCUAGGCGGUGACCCAUCGCCUGCCUAGGCGUUUUUCUAGGCGGUGGCUAAUACAUGCAUAAAUACUUAAAAGAAAAGGAAAAAAAAAAGGAGAUCAGUGGCCAUGGAAUAGGGAGAAAGAGGAGAAGCCGAGAAGGCCCAUUUAAUGGCCCAACUCUCCCACAUUACAGCCUCUCCAGCAUCUCUCUCGCCUGCAUCUGUCUGCGCCAGCCGCCGCCAGUUCCUCUCCCUCUCCUGCAUCUCUCUCUCACCUGCAUCUCUGUCUGCGCCCGCCGCCGCCAGUUCCUCUCCCUCUCCCGCAACUCUCUCUCAGUCCGUGCCUGUCGCCACAGGUUCGUUGCCCUCUCCCGCAUCUCUGUCUGCGCCCACCGCCGCCGGUUCCUCUCCCUCUCCCGCAUCUCUCUCUCUCUCUCUCAGUCCGCGCCCGCAUACACCCACGCCCACUGUCCGACUCCGCCCGAGGCUGCUCCUCCCCCACCAGCCCGACGUCCCUUCCUCCUCCACCGCCUAGGUACCACCUGCCCCCCUAGGCAAGGAGGUACCCUUCCGCUCAGCGUGGAGGCGUGCCUAGGCGAGCACGGAACAGCGCCUUGUUGAACACUAGACUUAGGAAGGGACAUGAAGGAGGCAAGCGGGCUUGACGAUGGAGAUGAGAGGCGGAGCAUAUGACGAAGGAGACGACCAAACAAGGUUAGGGCAAGGGGACCAUUGCUAUGUCGACGUUGGGGAGGGGAAGAAGGAAUGUGCUGAGGGUGCGCUAGGUUUCACCAGGAGAAGCCCAUUUGUGAGUGCCAUUCGUACGUGUGUGAUGUGGCUUUGCCUUUGGAAGAAAGGGCGAGGAGAAAGGCAAGUCCAACACGAGGAUCGCAGGUCAACAUACAACAGCACCGAAUUUGCAGGGAUCCACAGUUCCACACGCCAUCGACUUCACGAACGGAGACCAUAUGAUCUGAUAUACUGUACAGGAACGAGGGAGGGUAAAAAUAUGCUACCAUACAGCCAACACAACACGGUGGCUAUUUGGGAAAAAGGAAGGAAAAAAAAGGAGGGCAGUGGCGGCCUAGUCGGUAGUAGUUGGUAGACGCAACAGCCGCUCUCCAAAAGCGGGCAGAAUAUUCAACCUGGCAAAGAGAUCUUUCCCUUCCCCUUUGCUGUGGAAUCUGCGACAUGGCAUCGUAUUAUGCCCCGACAGACUCUAGCAUAUGAUGAGUUGCGAUUGCAACUCCACAUCAACACUCAGAAUCAAAUUCAAUUACAUGAUGCAAGCCACUGGUCACAGUGUAAUUCACAAUUGAUCUUCCAAGAGUAAAACAAGUGACCAUCAUAAAGUCACAACCAUUUAAAAGGAAUCUGUCAAUUUCAAGCAAGUUCUCAAUUCCACAACACCAUCAUAUUGGAAUGGUUCCACCCCAGCAUCCAAAGCAGCACGUAGCAAAAUUGCGCAACAGCAGCUCUAUUUCAGUUAAGUGAAGCUGUCUUCUAAUGUGAGAUUCACAUUCUGAAAAUGGCUGAUGCACAAAGAUCGUAAUAGAGAGGAAUUGCAGAAAAAGGAGCUCCAUGUUUUGAAAAAUAGGCAACGGAAACAUAAAUAUAAACACUUUGCAAGAUUCCUUCUUUUGCCAUAGCUCAUGAAAAACAGUUACAUUACUUUCCAAGCUAAAAGAAUGGCAAGAAAUGGAGCAAACUACCAGCAUUCCGAAUGAUAAUUUGUUCCUCUAUUCACAAUAAAGUCACAUCACAUUGCUUUCAUUAUGUUCUCACAAGAGUGAUUCAUCUGCCUUCCAUUGAACAGAUUUCUAGCCUUCCAAUUCCAAAGGACAACAGAGAAUCAGCUAUUGGAGGUCUAAGUCUUAUCUUCUCUUGCCCACACCCAGAGCACAAGCAUCAAGUCGCAAAAAAAA